rnacentral:tRNA from 1 species
GAGGGUAUAGCUCAAGUGGUAGAGCAUGUGCUUAAGAUGUACGAGGUCCUGGGUUCAAUCCCCAGUACCUCCA